CCCUUAGAUGUUCUGGGCCGCACGCGCGCUACACUGACGAUGGCAACGAGUUUUUCCUUCGCCGAAAGGUGUGGGUAAUCUUUUGAAACAUCGUCGUGCUGGGGAUAGAUCAUUGCAAUUUUUGAUCUUGAACGAGGAAUUCCUAGUAAGCGCGAGUCAUCAGCCCGCGUUGAUUACGUCCCUGCCCUUUGUACACACCGCCCGUCGCUACUACCGAUUGAAUGGUUUAGUGAGGACUCCUGAUUGGCGCCGCCGCCCCGGCAACGGAGCAGCGGACUGCCGAAAAGUUGUUCAAACUUGAUCAUUUAGAGGAAGUAAAAGUCGUAACG
rnacentral:rRNA from 1 species